rnacentral:misc_RNA from 1 species
GAUGAAGAACGCAGCGAAAUGCGAUAAGUAAUGUGAAUUGCAUAAUUCAGUGAAUCAUCGAAUCUUUGAACGCACAUUGCGCCCGCCAGUAUUCUGGCGGGCAUGCCUGUUCGAGCGUCAUUACAACCCUCAGGCCCCCGGGCCUGGCGUUGGGGAUCGGCGGAAGCCCCCUGCGGGCACAACGCCGUCCCCCAAAUACAGUGGCGGUCCCGCCGCAGCUUCCAUUGCGUAGUAGCUAACACCUCGCAACUGGAGAGCGGCGCGGCCACGCCGUAAAACACCCAACUUCUGAAUGUUGACCUCGAAUCAGGUAGGAAUACCCGCUGAACUUAAGCAUAUCAAUAAGCGGAGGA